rnacentral:rRNA from 1 species
UACGUAGGGCGCAAGCGUUGUCCGGAAUUAUUGGGCGUAAAGAGCUCGUAGGCGGUUUGUCGCGUCUGUCGUGAAAGCUUGGGGCUUAACCCCAAGUCUGCGGUGGAUACGGGCAGACUAGAGGCAGGUAGGGGAGAACGGGAAUUCCCGGUGUAGCGGUGAAAUGCGCAGAUAUCGGGAGGAACACCGGUGGCGAAGGCGGUUCUCUGGGCCUGUACUGACGCUGAGGAGCGAAAGCGUGGGGAGCGAACAGG